ensembl:snoRNA
GCCCAGCGGUUGCCGGGUGCUGUUGCUCAGGUACAGCUUUCCAGUCAAUGGCAAUGGGCUAGAGCAAUACUGUGAUGUAUGCAUGGGGGCUGUUCCUUUUCAGCAGCCUCCAUAGCCCGGUCACUGGGAUGGGG